CCAGUUUUAUUAAUUGCAUAUAAAAUAAAUAAGAAUAUUAUCAUUUGUCGGUGUGAGAAUUUAUCGGAGAAUAUUUAUUAAAUAAUUAAGUUCCGGAAUGAUCGCUUCGAUAAUAUUAAAAAUCACGAGAAUUAGUAAAUUAAACUAGCAAGUGGAUUUAAGAUUUCUUGGUGCCCAAGUAACGAAACUUGGUGCCCAAGAAACUCUACUUGGUGACCAAGUAACCAAUAGCACUAAUCUAAAAAAAAUAGAUUGGAGGUUAGUGUGGUAAUUAGUCAUAAUUACAAUUAAAAGAAUUUUUAUAAAAUCCAAGAACAAGAUUACUACAAAGAUUUUGGCUAAAAAGAGAAGAGAUAUUAGAGAUUUGUGUUGCAGAAGAAAAGAGGAGAAGAAGCUAAAUUCUUAAAAGCUUUACAAGACAGUAAAGGACCGAAAAUGGCACAAAUGAGAAGGAUAAUUCGGAAGCACAUAACAGCAAAGUCAAGGGCAAAGCGUGAGGCUGUGGCAACGAAGGGUGCGAAGACUUGUUCCCGUAACGAGGAUGUUUUAUGAUUAUAACAAUGGUAGAUUGUACUUUUGAACUUAUCGUUGUAAUGUUAUGAUAGACUGCGUGGAAGUGUAAGAUCGACCUUGGACUUGUGGGGCGAGUUAUGUAUUAUUGGAAGUCAGGUUUGCUAAAAUAAUGUGACGGCCUAGAUCCAGGAUAUACGGAUCUGGGGGCGUUACAGAUUUGGUAUCAGAGCUGAGGUUAUAUUCUUAGGACACGGGAACCCUAGGAAUAUAACGAGAGAGUGAGAAAAUAAUACGAGAAAUAAGAUUUAAGUAUGUGAUAGUUAUACAUCUACGAGAGCAGGCAAGGGUAUAUACGAAACCCGAAACUCUUUAGUGGGACAUUAAACCCCAUACUUAUGAAUACAUAUACGUAUAUACAAGUAUCUUUAAGAUGAGAAAAUUACGAUGGCAUCGUUUAAUUACCUGUGAAGAUGAUAGUAGCUAGUUCUCUUCGAGGAUGCUCUUCUACACCCAAUACUUAUGAGUGCUCAGAUUGUAAUAUGGGUAGUGCCGCAUCAAAGGGAAAUUAUGAUUACUGAUAGUAAUUCAGAAGACACGACUAUUCAAAUCAUUGAGCCUUCACCACUUGAGACUAUAGAGGUUUGGUAACCUACUAGUUACCCAGUAUUUAUUUCUAUGCCAGAGAGAUAGGCAUCAAAUUUACCUUAUAAAAUUUUGCUAGAAAUAACCCUUACACUAUUAUUGACUACCUAGAUAGCUACCCCUAUCUUCUAUUCAUUCGUUGUUCGUAUCAGAGGGUAGAGAUGAUCAGUGACUGUCGAAUAUACUUAGACACUUUUACCUAAUUCUUCCAAAGGCUAAUUCAUUUUCUUAUGAUUCCAUUAUGAUGCCGAUUUUCAAUCGGUAUCAAUUCAAGUUCCAUACCUUUAUCAACACCAUUUCUAUUGGUGAGAUUCUUUGAUCAUCUUUUGCAAAUUUCCAUUCGAUAUAUUCCAAUAUCAAGCCAAAAGCUCGAGUAUCACAGCCAGAGACCUCUACCUCAAGGGCUUCUGUUUCUAUCUCAUAUAAUAUAAAAAUACCAAUCUUUCUAUUACAAGGUUUCUUCUUUUCUACCUGAAAACCCUUUAAUUUCAGUAUCAAUUCCUACAACAAACUCAGCACCAGUGUUUAUUCUAACACCAAUAAAGUUCCAGUUUCUUUUUAUGCUCCAUAUGUUGGGAGCGAUGCAGUGCCACUCUCAGCACAGUUAAUAUCUGCACAACAGUAUGAGAUGCUAGCAAAGUAUUACCUUGAGUUUAAAGUUUUCAUGACGUACUGUUGUGGAUAUGAGAAUUAUAUAAUUCUGUAAUUGUUCAAGAGAGCCGGAUUUUUGGCCCGCGAAAUUAUGGCAAAGGAAUCUAUCGAAUAGUUAUUUAUGUAUUGGAAAGGCUUCUGAUAGAUAUUCAAUAGACUACUUCGACCAGCUCCGGACAUAGAGGAGCCACUUUUGUGGAUCGAAACCAUUAAGAAUCUUGGUGUAAAGUUACAGAGAUAUUCAGACACUGAUGGUUUAGACUUCUUGGGUAUAAUUUAUUCCUUUGCAAGAUAACACUUAUAAUUUAUGAAUAUCUCCAGUUCUACCUCUGUUUAUGGAUAUUGACAUUGUAUAGUAACGAGCAUAAGAGCCUUGCAUUUUCUUAUUAUUACAAUUCAGAUUCGGACAUAAGAUCUGUCGAGCAGAUAGAGAUGUAAGUAGACAUCUUAUUAAGACAUCUUAUUAACCAUAGUUGAAUUCAUAUCCCAGUGAUUAAAUGUGUCUUCGGAUAAUGAUAGAAUGGUAUGUUAACUUCAUAUGCUUAAGAUGAUGACUAGUGGAAAUGGACGAUAUUAUUUUGAGAUAAUUUCCAAUAUUUGCUAUGCAUGAUCUUUUGUACUUAUGAAACCACUGUUUAAUCCUUGAUCGCGAUAUCUGGUAUCACCUUGUUAUUGAAAACCCUUCAAAUACUUAUUUCUUAUUAAACCCUCUUUCAUUUUCAAGACCACCUAUCUUUUGCAAAUAAAUGUAAAGCCUUGGACAUGUUGAUAUACUUCCUUAAAAAAUUAUUAAACCUUAAUUUACCAUCUAACCUUUAUUUCAUAAACAAAACUCUUGUCAAACAUCUAUUAAACAAUUUUACACCACUAUAAACAGGUGCUACACUUUGCACUCUUGCAUUUCAAGUAAACCUGUACACCGUGUGAUAGUAACCAAUAUUGUUCCUCCUUUAUAGAAACAAGAUGAACUCGGAAAUUGGUAAAAAAACCAAGAACAUGAAAUUCCACAAGAGAAUAUUCCAGCCAAUCCUGAUCUGAUAUAAAUGCUCUUUGAUCUCUUACAACGACAUGCUCCAAACCUAGCAACCCAUACCAACGGAGUAUCAAUCAACCAACCACCUAAAUCAUUUGUUAUAUUAAAAAACUUUUAACUUUGUACACCCCAUGAGUUUAAAGAAACCACGGAUCCUAUUGAGGCUAGGACCUGGUUGAAAGAAAUUUAAAAAGGGAUUUUGAGAUUGUGGGAGUUGAGGAUGAUAAGGAAAACUCUGUUUGAAACAUAUAUGUUAAAUAGGGAAGCUAACUAUUGGUGGGACGCUAAAAAGGUCUAGAAGGGACUAGAGUUAUGACGUGAGAAUGCUUUACGAAAUAUUUCUUAUAGAAACAUUUUCCUAAAUACCAUGAGAAUCACGUAACUCAGAUUUUUAGAAUUCAAACAAGGGAAAGUAUUUGUGCCUGAUUAUAUAUGAAGCCAAAUUUACAUAACUUGCAAGGUUCGUACAACAUUAUGUUGAUAUUAGUAAAAAGAGAGCCCGACGUUUUCAUUUUUCAACAAGAAUUGAAACCCUGGCUCCUGAGCAGGGUAGUUGUUUUGAACGCAGAAGACUGCUAUCAUAGGAAGCGAAGUGAGCUAUACAACCGUGGAAAAAUGGAAAGAAAUGGAGGGCACCACAUCCAGAUCGUAGCCAAGGGAAGAAGAUAUUGGACUAGUAUAUAAAGAAACCUUAUGUUAAAAGGCUAUUCAACAAGGAUAGAACACUUCGAAUUAGAAAUUCUUGAAUCAGAAAUCGAGAAAGCUACGGAGGGAAUGAGAGGUCCAGUCCUCCAUAAACUACAAAUGUUCUCCAUGAAAGACCUCAUUUGCGUGAAUACAAGAAUUAUGGAAAGAAGAAUCCAACUUCGUGCUAUCAGGAGUCCACCAUUUGUUUUAUCUAUGGACAGAAAGGACGCUAUGUUUCAAAAUGUAAACAGAAAAGCUGUUACUCGCUUCAACUAUUAAAAGACGCGCCAUAUGGCCAGGGAUUGUUGAGCGCGACGCAAAGAAAACACUAUUCCAAGAUUAGCAACAUCUCUAGAAAGGAGCAAGCCAACAUCGUGCACCUUUAAUAUGACCAUGAAAGACGCCAUAGUCAACGACGACAUUAUUUCGUGUACGUUUACAGUAAAUCCUUAAGAUGCUUGUGUGCUGAUUGAUUCUGUAGCUAGCAAAUUAUGUAAAUUUUAUGCAAAAGUUGGGAAUUGUUCUGGCACCCUUAGGAGAGCCUAUGGAAAUUGAAAUCGUGAAUCAGUAAGUGAUUUCUAUGGAUCAAGUGUGUCCUAGGUUGUGAAGUAACAAAUCAGAAAGAACUUUUCAACAUAGAUUAGUUCCUUCUAAGUUAGGGGAGUUUGACAUGAUACUUAGAAUGGAAUGGUUAACGAGUUACGACGCUCAGAUUAAUUGUAGACGAAAACGUAUAAGAAGUGAUGAUGGGAAGAGAUGAUUGUAAGAAGACAAAAGCAAGAUAAGAAAUUUUUGAUCAUGACACAUGUCAAGAAAUUGCUUCGGGAAGGAUGUCAGACCUAUUUGGAGCACAUGAUAGAUCCGGAGAAAUAGAGUCCUGGAAUGGAAUAAACCUCAGUAGUAAAUGAGUAUAUAGAUGUACUUCUUGAAGAGUUACCGGGAUGCCCCAAAUAGGGAGAUUGAGUUCACUAUAAACCUUGUGCCAGGUACCGCACCUCUAUCAAAAGCUUCACCAGCAUAAAUAAUAGAGUUAGCAACACAAUUAUGGGAAUGAUUCGAAAAAGGAGUCAUUAGGCCAAGUGUAUCCUCGUGGGGAGUUGCAGUGUUGUUUGUUAAGAAAAAAGAUGGAAGUAUGAGGUUGUGUAUUGAAAUUAAGAAAUUGAAUAAGGCGACAAUUAAGAAUAAGUACCCUUACCAAUGAUUGAUGAUUUGUUUGAACAAUUGAAGGGAACAACUCAUUUUUUUUUCUAAGAUUGAUUUAAGAUCUGGAUGUCACCGAAUUAAAAAUUAAGCCUGAAGAUGUGCCUUAGAUAGCUUUUAGAACCAGGUAUGAACAUUAUGAGUUCUUAGAAAUGCAUCUAGGAUUAACCAAUAUUCAACUUUCAGCCUUUAUGGGCCUUAUGAAUAGAAUAUUCAAGAAAUAUUUGGAUAAGUUCGUGAUUGUUUUCAUUGAUGACGUUUUAAUUUACCCUAAAGACUGGAAAAGAAUAUGCAGAGUAUUUAGAAACAACAUUGGAAAUCUUGUGAAAAGAGAAGUUGUACGCAAAAUUUUCAAAAUGUGAAUUCUGGUUGGAGCAAGCACAAUUUCCGAGACACGUAGUUUCUAAAGACGGCAUAUCAUUUAGACCCCGCAAAGGUCGAAGCGGUAUAAAAUUAGGAAAGACCUAGAACUCUGAUGGAAGUUUUCUUAGACUAGUAGGAUAUUAUCAAAGAAUCGUUUAAGAUUUUCAAAGAUUACAACACCAUUGACACGGUUAGUCUAAAUGGAAGAGAAGUUUGAAUGGAUGCCAAAGCAUGAGGAAAACAUCCAAGAACUAAAGAAAAGACUCGCGAUAGCUCCUAUGUUGACUUUACCAAAUGAAAAUGGCAAUUUAUAAUCUUCAGUGAUGCUUCUCAUAAAAGUAUAGGAUGCGUAUUAAUUAAUAUAGCAUGAAAAAGAAAUUGUUUAUGCUUUAAGACAACUAAAAGAUUAUUAAUUGAGAUAUCUUAUUCCUGACUUGGGAUUAGUUGUGAUCAUAUUCGCAUUGGAGAUAUGGUGACAUUAAUUUUAGAGCGAGAAGCGUGAAACUUAUGUGAAUCAUAAGAACUUGAAGUAUUGGUUUACUCGGAAGAAAUUAAAUAUAAGGCAAACGAGAUGGUUAGAGUUGAUUAAAGAUGGUGAUUGUAUAGAUAACUGUAUAGUUAACUGUCAUCCAUGGGAGGUAAAUGUAUUUGCAGAUGCGUUAAGUAGAAAAGAAAGAGUCAAUGUGAUGUCUUCACCAAAGGAAUUGAUAAAGGAAAUGGAAAAGUUAGAAUUGGAAAUUAAGGAUUCAGAGCAUAAGGAGGGAAUGAUAUAUGAAAUGUUAGUGCAACCAGAGUUACUAGAAAGAAUCAAAAGAGUCAAGAAUUAAUGAUUGAAGAAAGACGAUCUAAAUUGACAGGCGAUGAGUACUUACAUGUUGAAGAUGAAAAGGAAAUUAAGAGAUUUUCUAAUAGGUUUAGAUUUCUACAAUAACAGAAUUUAAAAGUAAGAUUUUGAGCAAAGCACAUGACUCGAGAUAUUUCAUACACUCAGGGAGCACAAAGAUGUUUCAGGAUUUUAAAAGACACGAUUAGUGGCCAUAUAUGAAAAAAAGAAUUUGUAGAUUGGGCGAGUAAAUGUUAAAAUAAUAAAAGAUAAAAGUUAAACAUCAAAGACCCAAUGGAUUAUUACAACCUUUGGAAAUCCCGGAGUGGAAGAGGAAACAUAUUACUAACGAUUUUAUUGUAAGAUUACCACAAACUCGAACAAACCAUGACGCUAUUGGGCUAUCAUAGAUAUGCUUAUGGAAUCGACCCAUUUCUUACUAAUCAGUAAAAUAUACACAAUUGAGAAAUUAGUGAGUACGUACCCAAAAGAGAUUGUGACUCGACAUGAAGUUCCAGUGCUAAUAGUAUCGGAUAUAGAUGCAAGAUUCACUUCGAGAUUCUACCAAACUUUUAAGAAUUGUCUAAGGAUUAAGUUGAAUCUAAAUACUGCUUAUUAUCCACAAACUGACGGACAGAGUGAAAGAACGAUUCGAGCAAUUAAGGGGAUGUUAUGUUAGAUGUCAAAGGGAAGUUGGGAUUAUCAUUCGCCCUUAAGUGUGAUUCUCUUAUAAAACCAGUUAUCAUUCUAGUAUUGGGAUGACACCUUACGAAGCAAUAUGUGGUAGAAAAUAUAGUUCACCUUUUUGCUAGCAUUUGGAGAAAAGAAGAUUCUAGGACCAAAACUAGUUCACCUGACCAAACCAUCAAGUGAGAAGAUACGAAAAAGAUUAACUGUAGCUCAAGAUAGACAAAAGAAGUAUGCCGAUUUAGGAAGAAAAUUCAAGACUUUUGAAGUUGGAGAGAAAGUGUUGUUAAAAGUGUCUCCAUGGAAGGGAGUAGUAAGAAUUGCAAAGAGAAACAAGUUAAAUACUCGUUUUAUUGAACCAUUUGAGAUACUAAAGAAAGUUGGAUAUGUUUCAUAUCAACUCGCCUUACCACCUGAUCUGCAGCAUAUCCACGAUGUAUUUCAUAUACCUUUGCUAAAGGCUUAUAAAUCAGAUACACGACAUGUCUUGGACUACGAGUCGAUUCAUCUGUAAUCUAACUUGACAUACGAAGAGAAACCGGUACAGAUUGUAGACACGAAGUCCCAGGAGUUAAAGACCAAGAAGAUUAAGUUAGUCAAAGCUAUUUGGAGGAACUAAAAUGUCGAAGAAGUCAUGUGGGAACUGGAAGACGAAAUGCGAAAGAAUCAUCCCUAUCUAUUUAAUAACUCGUCAUGAUUCCGAGGUCGGAAUCCUUUAAGGGGGAGAGACUGUAACGACCCCAAAAUUUUAAAGUACACAAUUAUGUAAUCAUUUAAUUUCUUUAGUUAUCGUGCGACUAGAUUGUUUAAUUAUCUUGCAGAAUGUCGACUUCAGAUUUAUUUAUUUAUUUAUUUUUAGAUCGAUAAAUACUAAUUGAGAAUUAUUUGGUGCCAAUUUAUUAAGGAUGCAACUUAUUCGAUAAUAUUUAUUAAUGAUUGAUAUUACUAGAUUUCGUUUGAUAUGAAUAUUAUUUAGACACCAGUUUUAUUAAUUGCAUAUAAAAUAAAUAAGAAUAUUAUCAUUUGUCGGUGUGAGAAUUUAUCGGAGAAUAUUUAUUAAAUAAUUAAGUUCCGGAAUGAUCGCUUCGAUAAUAUUAAAAAUCACGAGAAUUAGUAAAUUAAACUAGCAAGUGGAUUUAAGAUUUCUUGGUGCCCAAGUAACGAAACUUGGUGCCCAAGAAACUCUACUUGGUGACCAAGUAACCAAUAGCACUAAUCUAAAAAAAAUAGAUUGGAGGUUAGUGUGGUAAUUAGUCAUAAUUACAAUUAAAAGAAUUUUUAUAAAAUCCAAGAACAAGAUUACUACAAAGAUUUUGGCUAAAAAGAGAAGAGAUAUUAGAGAUUUGUGUUGCAGAAGAAAAGAGGAGAAGAAGCUAAAUUCUUAAAAGCUUUACAAGAAUAUUUAUUCUUUGGAAAGCGAGGUCCAUUGAGACAGGAAUAUUAUUUAUCCGAGGAAGCCAGGCAAGUUCACUUGAUUCCUUCUCUUGUUGUGCCAAAUGUGUGCUAUUGAUUUAUCAAAUGUGAUUAUGCCUGAUAAUUGAUUCUGUGAUUGAAACCCGAUACUUUAUUAUAUUUGAAUAUUUCGAGAAGAUCAGGGAGAGACGGAAACUAAAAGAUUUGACAUUUGUUCAGAUUCUUAUUGAACAACCUUUCUUCGUUACCCGAGUCUAACCAUUGUUCGGAUUGACUCAUUAUUUUGUGAAACCAAAAUUUCAACGAACUUUCAAUUCUUUAACUUGUCAUACUUUUUGAAAUGAUUAUUCUACUCUGAAAUCUUUGCUUCAUUACAGAAUUCAUAUUUGAUUCCAACCUUGCUCACAUUUGAGAAGUCUAGUUCAUAUUCUCGAGUUGUUAUUACUAGAAUAACUCAAUCAAUUUUAUUUAAUCUACGAGUACUCGCCAACCUUGUGAAUUCAAUUAUCAAGAUCUCUAUCGUUGAUAUGCUCUUUCUAACGAAGAUAUAUGAUUCAGAUGUAUUUUCCUUGGAUAACCGAUUAUUCUUUCUAUACACCUUAAAGUGGAUAAAUUGCUUGAUUAUUGAUUUACUCUUCUAGUUUCUUAUUCUUGUUCAAUCUGCUAAACUUCUAUUCUUUUAUUCGAACUAUGAUUAAUCGACUUUAUACAAGGAUCGUUAACCAUGUUCGGUUCUAUGUUAUUGUUCUUUGGAUGUUGUGAUCGGAUUACUGUUUCUUCGUAAUCCGGCCGAGAGGUAUUUAAUUCUGAAUUGUGAGGAUGCAUUUAUUCGCAUUCUUGUGAGAAAGGAGAAGAUUUAUUCAAUAUGAAGUGAGCCAAUUUGUACUCGGGGAAUGAAUUUCGUAAACUGGUCAACACGGAUGAUUUGCAUUCGUGGAAGAGUGGAAAUAUCUGUUGGCCCUAUGUGUGGGACAACUUUAAGGGUUGAAAGCGAUAACCCUUAUGCUAGCAAAUAAAUGGGGGAAACUGUGUGCCACCAUUCGAAAGUCGCGAUCAGACUGUGAAGGUGACACGGGGUGGUAUCUACUUAGUGGCGGUGAUCGAGCCAUAUGGUGGAACCACCGAGGAUGGAGACCAGUAUUACUAUUAUUCUUUGAUUUUUGA